GGGAUUAGUGGCGGACGGGUGAGUAACACGUGGGAACGUGCCCUUUGGUUCGGAACAACUCAGGGAAACUUGAGCUAAUACCGGAUGUGCCCUUCGGGGGAAAGAUUUAUCGCCAUUGGAGCGGCCCGCGUCUGAUUAGCUAGUUGGUGAGGUAAAGGCUCACCAAGGCGACGAUCAGUAGCUGGUCUGAGAGGAUGAUCAGCCACAUUGGGACUGAGACACGGCCCAAACUCCUACGGGAGGCAGCAGUGGGGAAUCUUGCGCAAUGGGCGAAAGCCUGACGCAGCCAUGCCGCGUGAAUGAUGAAGGUCUUAGGAUUGUAAAAUUCUUUCACCGGGGACGAUAAUGACGGUACCCGGAGAAGAAGCCCCGGCUAACUUCGUGCCAGCAGCCGCGGUAAUACGAAGGGGGCUAGCGUUGCUCGGAAUUACUGGGCGUAAAGGGAGCGUAGGCGGACUGUUUAGUCAGAGGUGAAAGCCCAGGGCUCAACCUUGGAAUUGCCUUUGAUACUGGCAGUCUUGAGUACGGAAGAGGUAUGUGGAACUCCGAGUGUAGAGGUGAAAUUCGUAGAUAUUCGGAAGAACACCAGUGGCGAA
rnacentral:rRNA from 1 species